rnacentral:rRNA from 1 species
AGCGAACGCUGGCGGCAGGCCUAACACAUGCAAGUCGAACGAACCUUUCGGGGUUAGUGGCGGACGGGUGAGUAACACGUGGGAACGUGCCUUUAGGUUCGGAAUAACUCAGGGAAACUUGUGCUAAUACCGAAUGUGCCCUUCGGGGGAAAGAUUUAUCGCCUUUAGAGCGGCCCGCGUCUGAUUAGCUAGUUGGUUGAGGUAAUGGCCUACCAAGGCGACGAUCAGUAGCUGGUCUGAGAGGAUGAUCAGCCACAUUGGGACUGAGACACGGCCCAAACUCCUACGGGAGGCAGCAGUGGGGAAUCUUGCGCAAUGGGCGAAAGCCUGACGCAGCCAUGCCGCGUGAAUGAUGAAGGUCUUAGGAUUGUAAAAUUCUUUCACCGGGGACGAUAAUGACGGUACCCGGAGAAGAAGCCCCGGCUAACUUCGUG